rnacentral:rRNA from 1 species
UACGUAGGUGACAAGCGUUGUCCGGAUUUACUGGGCGUAAAGAGCGCGCAGGCGGUCGAUCAAGUCGGGUGUGAAAGCCCCCGGCUCAACUGGGGAGGGGCAUUCGAUACUGAUCGACUCGAAGGCAGGAGAGGGGAGUGGAAUUCCCGGUGUAGUGGUGAAAUGCGUAGAUAUCGGGAGGAACACCAGUGGCGAAGGCGACUACCUGGACUGUUCUUGACGCUGAGGCGCGAAAGCUAGGGGAGCAAACGGG